GUCUUCAGCCAUGUCACCCUGAACAAGCCCGAUCCCGUCUGGUCUCAGAAGCUAAGUAGGGUCGGGCCUGGUUAGUGCUUGGUUGGGUGACCACCUAGGAAGACCAGGUGCUGUAGGUG
rnacentral:rRNA from 1 species